AGAAAUGCAGCUCAUUGGUGGAGCAUCUGCCUUUGAAUGCAGAAGGUCCCAAGUUCAACCCCUGACAUCUCCA